rnacentral:rRNA from 1 species
CUUAAUGAGAGUUUGAUCCUAGCUCAGGGUGAAUGCUGGCGGCGUGGAUAAGUCAUGCAAGUCGAACGCUGGAGACCGGAGAACAGAGUCCGGAAGCCAGAAGGAUAUAUACUAAACACAUGGACUAUCGUGGAUUGGAAGUCUAUCAACGUGCGAAUGUUUUGUUUCCACAAAUCUAUCGCUUGGUUCGGUCUUGGAAACAGAUUGACCAACAUGAGAUUGGGAGUCAAAUGAUUCGUGCCGCGAAUUCUAUCCAUGCAAAUAUUGCAGAAGGAAGUACGAAAUCCAUUCCGGAUUUCAAACGGUAUCUCGGCAAUUCUAUUGGUUCGUGCGAUGAACUUGUGAGCCAUAUCACUGAUGCAGUGAAUAUUGGUCUUAUGGGCAAAACUGUUGGAGAUAAGUUAAUAGACGAAUAUCGAAUCGUCGGUAAACAGCUUAUGCGUCUCAAGCAGAAUUGGAAGUAAUGUCUUUCCGGUUCCUGGUUUCAGUUCUCCGGUUUCUAGAGUGGCAGACGAGGUAGUAACACGUAGGUACGUCCCCCGAAGUCGGGCAUAGCCAUCCGAAAGGAUGGGUAAUUCCCGAUAGUCCCGCAAGGGUAAAGGUUUUUCGCUUCGGGAGCGGCCUG